rnacentral:rRNA from 1 species
GUCCUCUUGUUGUUUAUAUGAGGUCAGACCUGCCCGGUGAAUAAGUUUUUAACGGCCGCGGUAUAUUGACUGUGCAAAGGUAGCAUAAUCAUUAGUCUUUUAAUAGGAGGCUGGUAUGAAGGGUUUAACGAGGUGUUAACUGUCUCAUUUAAUUUAGUAUUAAAAUUUAGCUUUUCAGUCAAAAGGCUGAAAUAUUAUUGGGGGACGAGAAGACCCUAUAGAGCUUUAUAAUUUAAGUUAUAUAUAAUUGUGGUUAUAUAAUUAUUAUUUAUAGCUUUAAUUAUUUUGUUGGGGUGACAAAAAUAUAUAAUUAACUUUUUGAUGUAAAUAACAUUGAUUUAUGUUUAUUAGAUCCAAUUAUUAUUGAUUGUUAGAACAAGUUACCUUAGGGAUAACAGCGUAAUCUUCCUCCAGAGUUCAUAUUUACGGGGAGGCUUGCGACCUCGAUGUUGGAUUAAGAUAAUAAUUAGGUGCAUCCGCUUAAUAUAUAGGUCUGUUCGACCUUUAAAUUCUU